GGAUAACACUGACGUUCAUGCCCGAAAGCGUGGGUAGCAAACAGGAUUAGAUACCCUGGUAGUCCACGUCCUAAACGAUGUCGAUUAGCUGUUGGGCAGCAUGACUGCUUAGUAGCGAAGCUAACGCGUGAAAUCGACCGCCUGGGGAGUACGGUCGCAAGAUUAAAACUCAAAGGAAUUGACGGGGACCCGCACAAGCGGUGGAUGAUGUGGAUUAAUUCGAUGCAACGCGAAGAACCUUACCUGGUCUUGACAUGUACGGAACCCUCCAGAGACGGAGGGGUGCCUUCGGAAGCCGUAACACAGGUGCUGCAUGGCUGUCGUCAGCUCGUGUCGUGAGAUGUUGGGUUAAGUCCCGCAACGAGCGCAACCCUUGUCAUUAGUUGCCAUCAUUAAGUUGGGCACUCUAAUGAGACUGCCGGUGACAAGCCGGAGGAAGGUGGGGAUGACGUCAAGUCCUCAUGGCCCUUAUGACCAGGGCUUCACACGUCAUACAAUGGUCGGUACAGAGGGUAGCCAAGCCGCGAGGUGGAGCCAAUCUCACAAAACCGAUCGUAGUCCGGAUUGCACUCUGCAACUCGAGUGCAUGAAGUCGGAAUCGCUAGUAAUCGCAGGUCAGCAUACUGCGGUGAAUACGUUCCCGGGUCUUGUACACACCGCCCGUCACACCAUGGGAGUGGGGGAUACCAGAAGUAGGUAGGGUAACCGCAAGGAGCCCGCUUACCACGGUAUGCUUCAUGACUGGGGUGAAGUCGUAACAAGGUAGCCGUAGGGGAACC
rnacentral:rRNA from 1 species